ACGCUGGCGGCGUGCUUAACACAUGCAAGUCGAACGGUAAGGCCCUUCGGGGUACACGAGUGGCGAACGGGUGAGUAACACGUGGGUGAUCUGCCCUGCACUUCGGGAUAAGCUUGGGAAACUGGGUCUAAUACCGGAUAGGACCACGGUCUGCAUGGAUUGUGGUGGAAAGCUUUUGCGGUGUGGGAUGGGCCCGCGGCCUAUCAGCUUGUUGGUGGGGUGAUGGCCUACCAAGGCGACGACGGGUAGCCGGCCUGAGAGGGUGUCCGGCUACACUGGGACUGAGAUACGGCCCAGACUCCUACGGGAGGCAGCAGUGGGGAAUAUUGCACAAUGGGCGCAAGCCUGAUGCAGCGACGCCGCGUGGGGGAUGACGGCCUUCGGGUUGUAAACCUCUUUCAGCAGGGACGAAGGGUGACUGACGGUACCUGUAGAAGAAGCACCGGCCAACUACGUG
rnacentral:rRNA from 1 species